UCGGUUGAUCCUGCCGGAGGUUACUGCUAUCGAGGUUCGACUAAGCCAUGCGAGUCGAAUGUAGCAAUACAUGGCGUACUGCUCAGUAACACGUGGACAACCUACCCUGAGGACGGGGAUAAACCCGGGAAACUGGGUAUAAUACCCGAUGGGUCUCGGCCGCUGGAAUGCCCCGAGACCGAAAGCUCCGGCGCCUCAGGAUGGGUCUGCGGCCUAUCAGGGUAGUAGUGGGUGUAAAGUACCUACUAGCCUACGACGGGUACGGGUCGUGAGAGCGAGAGCCCGGAGAUGGAUUCUGAGACACGAAUCCAGGCCCUACGGGGUGCAGCAGGCGCGAAAACUUUACAAUGCUGGCAACAGCGAUAAGGGAACCUCGAGUGCCUCGAUACAAUCGAGGCUGUCGUUCUGUCUAAAAAACAGGAUAUAGCAAGGGCCGGGCAAGACCGGUGCCAGCCGCCGCGGUAACACCGGCGGCUCGAGUGGUAACCGCUAUUAUUGGGUCUAAAGGGUCUGUAGCCGGCCCUGUGAGUCUCUUGGGAAAUCCGGCAGCUCAACUGUCGGGCUAUCAGGAGAUACUGCAGGGCUCGAGACCGGGAGAGGUGAGAGGUACUUCAGGGGUAGGGGUGAAAUCUUGUAAUCCUUGAAGGACCACCAGUGGCGAAGGCGUCUCACCAGAACGGGUCUGACGGCAAGGGACGAAAGCUAGGGGCACGAACCGGAUUAGAUACCCGGGUAGUCCUAGCCGUAAACGAUACUCGCUAGGUGUCGGCCACGGUGCGACCGUGGUCGGUGCCGUAGGGAAGCCGUGAAGCGAGCCACCUGGGAAGUACGGCCGCAAGGCUGAAACUUAAAGGAAUUGGCGGGG
rnacentral:rRNA from 1 species